rnacentral:rRNA from 1 species
UACGGAGGGUGCAAGCGUUGUCCGGAAUCACUGGGCGUAAAGCGCGCGUAGGCGGUUUGGUAAGUCGGAUGUGAAAUCCCGAGGCUCAACCUCGUGACUGCAUCCGAUACUGCCCGACUAGAGGUAGGUAGGGGAGAUCGGAAUUCCUGGUGUAGCGGUGAAAUGCGCAGAUAUCAGGAGGAACACCGGUGGCGAAGGCGGAUCUCUGGGCCUUACCUGACGCUGAGGCGCGAAAGCUAGGGGAGCAAACAGG